ensembl:piRNA 21ur-1426 ncRNA
UCAACCCAAAACAUGACAGCC